CCUACGGGUGACAGCAGUGAGGAAUAUUGGUCAAUGGGCGAGAUCCUGAACCAGCCAAGCCGCGUGAGGGAAGACGGCCCUAUGGGUUGUAAACCUCUUUUGUAGGAGAACAAAACCCGGGACGUGUCCCGUUCUGCAUGUACCCUAUGAAUAAGCAUCGGCUAACUCCGUGCCAGCAGCCGCGGUAAUACGGAGGAUCCGAGCGUUAUCCGGAUUUAUUGGGUUUAAAGGGUGCGUAGGCGGUUCGUUAAGUCAGCGGUUAAAGUUGGGGGCUCAACCCCCGCCUUGCCGUUGAAACUGGCAGACUUGAGUAGGGGGGAGGUAGGCGGAAUGCGCGGUGUAGCGGUGAAAUGCAUAGAUAUCGCGAAGAACUCCGAUUGCGAAGGCAGCGAAC
rnacentral:rRNA from 1 species